rnacentral:snRNA from 1 species
AUAUUCACCUGGCAGGAGAGGGACCAUGAUCACGAAGAUGGUUUCACAGUCCAAGACUUUCCCACUGCACUCGGGCGUGCUGACAUGUAAACUCAACUGCAUAAUUGUGAUAGUGCCAGCUUGGUUCCCAUGCUCCCC